rnacentral:rRNA from 1 species
AAUAGAUACCCAGGUAGUCCACGCCGUAAACGAUGAGUGCUAAGUGUUGGAGGGUUUCCGCCCUUCAGUGCUGCAGCUAACGCAUUAAGCACUCCGCCUGGGGAGUACGGUCGCAAGACUGAAACUCAAAGGAAUUGACGGGGGCCCGCACAAGCGGUGGAGCAUGUGGUUUAAUUCGAAGCAACGCGAAGAACCUUACCAGGUCUUGACAUCUCCUGACCGCCCUGGAGACAGGGUCUUCCCUUCGGGGACAGGAUGACAGGUGGUGCAUGGUUGUCGUCAGCUCGUGUCGUGAGAUGUUGGGUUAAGUCCCGCAACGAGCGCAACCCUUGGUUCUAGUUGCCAGCAUUCAGUUGGGCACUCUAGAGCGACUGCCGGCGACAAGUCGGAGGAAGGUGGGGAUGACGUCAAAUCAUCAUGCCCCUUAUGACCUGGGCUACACACGUGCUACAAUGGAUGGUACAAAGGGCAGCGAAGCGGCGACGCAUGAGCGAAUCCCAGAAAAACCNUUCUCAGUUCGGU